AGGAAUUGACGGGGGCCCGCACAAGCGGUGGAGCAUGUGGUUAAAUUCGAUGCAACGCGAAGAACCUUACCAGGGCUUGACAUGCCCGCGACCCCACAAUGGUCGUGCUCUUCCAAGAAAAGGGAAGAAGUUUUUUUUAAACGGACACAGGUGGUGCAUGGCUGUCGUCAGCUCGUGUCGUGAGACGUUGGGUUAAGUCCCGCAACGAGCGCAACCCUCGUGAGAAGUUGCCUAUUUUUAAUAGUGCUCUCUACUCAGACUGCCGGUGACAAGCCGGAGGAAGGUGAGGAUGACGUCAAGUCAGCAUGCCCCUUACGCCCUGGGCUACACACGUGCUACAAUGGCCGGGACAAUAGGAUGCUACCCCGCAAGGAUAAGCUAAGCCCCAAACCCGGUCUCAGUUCGGAUUGUAGGCUGCAACUCGCCUGCAUGAAGGAGGAAUCGCUAGUAAUCGCCGGUCAGCCACACGGUGGUGAAUACGUUCCCGGGCCUUGUACACACCGCCCGUCACACUAGGGGAGCUGGCUCUGCUCUAAGUCGUGACUCUAACCGUGAGGAGGAGAACGCCAAAAGCAGGGCUCGUGACUCGAGUGAAGUCG
rnacentral:rRNA from 1 species